AGGGCUGUCCAGAGAAUCUUCAAGCGUCAGCAUCAGAACAAUUCCAAGAGUUCGCCCAACUCCAAGACCAGUUUUAACCACCACAUAAACUCAAACCACGUCAGCUCCAACUCCACCGGAAGCAGCUAGUGGCCGCUUGGCCUUGGAGUCCACGUGGGACAGGCUAGACCCUGUCCUUAGAAGCAGAACUUGUGACCGGCGGAGCGUCCACUCCGGAUGGGUGGACGGGACAGCCCGCCCGGAGCCGGCGAAGGAAGGAGGCGCCGCCCUCGGCACGGAGCCUCGGGCUCCUCAGGUGCCACUCAGGUCUGUGCAGACGCGGCCCUCGAGCCGGGCGGACUGGCUUUGUCUCUGUCGACUAUUGCAAUAGAAAUCCAAUCGGAUACGACGACUUGCACGUAUUUUAAUAGCAUCAUAACUAGAACUGAAUUUUGUCUUUAUUAUUUUUAAAGGAAAGUUUUGUAAAUUUCUCUAUCGCCUCAGUUUACAUUUUGUAUAUUUGUAUUUAAAUGAAAGUCAGACUUUGAGGGUGUAUAUUUUCUGUGCAGCCACUGUUAAGCCAUGUGUUUUCAGACAUUUUAGAGGGGGCGGGGUGGGGGGGGAUUUACCAAAAAAAAAUGUGACUCAAGACUUCCACAGCCUCAAAUGAGAAAACGUUUUUAUUAAAGGUAGAAAACGAUUCACGUUUCACCUCGAGAGGGUCGGUCGCAUCCAUCUCUCUAACCUUUGCCGGGCAUUGCCCUCGCCCGCUGGUCACUUGGAACAAUCGGAAUUAAAUGCUCAGAGACGCACCUGGGACUGCACCCCCGGCCAGGACGCCCUGUGCGGGGCCCGUGGAGUGGCCUGGGGCCAGCUCCGUGGGAUCCACACGUCUCCUCGUUGCCUGGGCCCCGGCCCCCUCUUCCUCCUGCGAGACGGCCGUGUGCCGCGCCGGCGCCUUCAGCAUCUUCUCUGGGCCCCUUCCUUUCUAAGCAGGUUCUGACUGUAAAGCCAGUGUGUCUUCAAGAGGCAUGUGUCUGGGGAUUUUUGUUUUAUUCUAAGAGAAGCGUAGGGAUGAUAAGGAGUAAUCAUGGAGCCCCCCGUGUCCCAAACUUUUAUGGCCCAAGGGGGCAUUGGAGUGGGGUCACU